rnacentral:rRNA from 1 species
AGUGAACGCUGGCGGUAGGCCUAACACAUGCAAGUCGAACGGCAGCACAGUAAGAGCUUGCUCUUGCGGGUGGCGAGUGGCGGACGGGUGAGGAAUACAUCGGCAUCUACUUUUUCGUGGGGGAUAACGUAGGGAAACUUACGCUAAUACCGCAUACGACCUACGGGUGAAAGCAGGGGAUCUUCGGACCUUGCGCGAUUGAAUGAGCCGAUGUCGGAUUAGCUAGUUGGCGGGGUAAAGGCCCACCAAGGCGACGAUCCGUAGCUGGUCUGAGAGGAUGAUCAGCCACACUGGAACUGAGACACGGUCCAGACUCCUACGGGAGGCAGCAGUGGGGAAUAUUGGACAAUGGGCGCAAGCCUGAUCCAGCCAUACCGCGUGGGUGAAGAAGGCCUUCGGGUUGUAAAGCCCUUUUGUUGGGAAAGAAAAGCAGCAGGUUAAUACCCCGCUGUUCUGACGGUACCCAAAGAAUAAGCACCGGCUAACUUCGUG